GACGAACGCUGGCGGCGUGCCUAAUACAUGCAAGUCGAGCGCAGGAAGCUGACGGAUUCCUUCGGAGGGAAGGCAGUGGAAUGAGCGGCGGACGGGUGAGUAACACGUAAGGAACCUGCCUCAAGGAUUGGGAUAACUCCGAGAAAUCGGAGCUAAUACCGGAUAGUUCAACGGACCGCAUGGUCCGCUGAUGAAAGGCGCGCCGGCGUCACCUUGAGAGGGCCUUGCGGUGCAUUAGCUAGUUGGUGGGGUAACGGCCCACCAAGGCGACGAUGCAUAGCCGACCUGAGAGGGUGAUCGGCCACACUGGGACUGAGACACGGCCCAGACUCCUACGGGAGGCAGCAGUAGGGAAUCUUCCACAAUGGACGAAAGUCUGAUGGAGCAACGCCGCGUGAGUGAUGAAGGUUUUCGGAUCGUAAAACUCUGUUGUAAGGGAAGAACACGUACGAGAGGGAAUGCUCGUACCUUGACGGUACCUUACGAGAAAGCCACGGCUAACUACGUGCCAGCAGCCGCCGUAA
rnacentral:rRNA from 1 species